AAUAUUCAUUACUCACUCGGGAAACUCUUUGAUUCAAAUGGUCCAACACUCUCGGUUUUGUUCUUGUUGAUGAUAUGUGUUCUACUACUCAAGCUGUCAUCUCUGAUUUUCUCAUCCCCCGUGCGACUACAGUAAGAGAUGGACAUCACCCUAACAAGUUUAUGAAGAACACUUAACUCGAAUCAAGUGUGUUACAAAAAGGAAGGAAUGGGAAAGUGGACUGAGAUCCCUCACAUUCAACUUGUUUGAAGGCCGAGACGCAAAUGACGUAUGUGAGUAUGGAUGUAUAGGUGUAAAGUGUGUGAUGUAUGUGUAUGUGUAUAGUGUGUAAACGGCUGGUAAAGAUGUAUGUGUAUCGAUUGUAUAGAUGAAUGUAUAGGUUGUGGAUGUGUGGUAUAGAUGAAUGUUUAGGGAUUUAGGUUUGUGUAUAGAUGAAUGUUUAGGAAAUAGGGGUUUAAGUGUGUGUAUGGAUAAUGUUUUAGGGUGUAUAUAAAAGAUAAUAGGUAAAUAGAGGGAAAGGAUAUAUAGAUUAUACAAAUGUCGAGGGUGGAUGAAAAUGGAACGAUGAAAUGUAAUCGCGCUGACAGAUGGUUACAGAUAAUUAAUUGACCUUUUAAAAUAAUA